rnacentral:rRNA from 1 species
GUGCCAGCAGCCGCGGUAAUACGUAGGGUGCGAGCGUUAAUCGGAAUUACUGGGCGUAAAGCGUGCGCAGGCGGUUUGUUAAGACAGGCGUGAAAUCCCCGGGCUCAACCUGGGAACUGCGCUUGUGACUGGCAGGCUAGAGUACGGCAGAGGGGGGUGGAAUUCCACGUGUAGCAGUGAAAUGCGUAGAGAUGUGGAGGAACACCAAUGGCGAAGGCAGCCCCCUGGGUCGAUACUGACGCUCAUGCACGAAAGCGUGGGUAGCAAACAGGAUUAGAUACCCCCGUAGUCC